rnacentral:lncRNA from 1 species
CUGACAAGAUAUAGGUUAAGGAUAACUCGUCAAACAUGAUUCUUGUCAUAUGUUAGAAUUAAUCGACUUGAGUCUGAUGUGAAACCCAAUAAAAAUAUCUUUCUAUUUUCAUACUAUCAUGGCUAUGGGCUUUAGGACUCAGCCUCAUGAUCUACAUAGGACUACUCCUCAUCUAUCGAGAUCGACAGAUCCCAUCUUGAUGCGUACCAUAUUCUUAUAGUGAGUUUACUGCAGCCAAUUAUACCUCAAGAUUUUAUAUGGCUAGG